AGGACGAGCGGAGCUGAGCGGACCCUGAGGCGCCUGCGGAGGACGAGCGGAGCUGAGCGGACCGUGAGGCGACUGCGGAGGACGAGUGGAGCUGAGCGAGGACGAGCGGCCUCCGGCCAGAGCUGGGCGGGUGCACUGUCAGGUGCCGGUGGCUUUUCUCAGGAGGAAGCGCCUGGAGGACGCGGGCUCUGGGCGGUCAGCUUGUCUGUGGAGAAGGCAGGACGCGGGCCCUGAGCGGACCAUGAGGCGACUGCGGAGGAUGAGCUGAACUAAGCAGAGGACGAGCGGUUUCCGGCCAGGCAUUUUAAGAAGAAAACAUGCAGAGUCUCAGGAUAAAAUGGGGAGAGCCUGGAAGCUUGGAAUCGCGAAUAUAGGUUCAUGGUGUAUAGACCAAUGUGGGAUGGUCUGGACGGAUCGGAUCCCAUCAGCACUUGCUCUUGCCGCUGGCAUUUCUCCAAGUCUGCAUCAAGUUUUCAUCUAUACUUUCAUGUCUACACUUGGGCCUGGAGAAGGAGGUGAAGCCUCUCCCUUCCUGCUUGUUGAUGUUGUACAGAAGAGCCACACGCCGGUAGCUCACCCCUGAUAUCCUAGCUACUCAGGAGGCUGAGAUCUGAGGAUCGUGGUUCAAAGCCAGCCUGUGUAGGAAAA